rnacentral:lncRNA from 1 species
GAGAGGAAGAUGCACAUGCCCUUCCAGAAGGGGAUGCCCUUUGACCUCUGCUUCCUGGUGCAGAGCUCAGAUUUCAAGGAACAUGGAUGGAGCUGGAAGCCGUUGCAGGAGCAGAAAACCAAACACCGCAAGUUCUCACUUAUAAGUAGGAGCUGAACGAUGAGAACACAUGGACACAAGUGGGGAAACAACACACACUGGGGCCUGGUCGGGGACGGAGAGCAUCAGGAAGAUUAGCUAAUGGAUGCUGGGCUUGAUACCAAGGUGAUGGUGAACGGGAGCCUCUUCGUGCAGUACUUCCACCGCGUGCCCUUCCACCGUGUGGACACCAUCUCCGUCAAUGGCUCUGUGCAGCUGUCCUACAUCAGCUUCCAG